rnacentral:rRNA from 1 species
GACGAACGCUGGCGGCGUGCUUAACACAUGCAAGUCGAACGGAAAGGCCCUGCUUUUGUGGGGUGCUCGAGUGGCGAACGGGUGAGUAACACGUGAGUAACCUGCCCUUGACGUUGGGAUAACUUCAGGAAACUGGGGCUAAUACCGGAUAGGAGCUCCUGCUGCAUGGUGGGGGUUGGAAAGUUUCGGCGGUUGGGGAUGGACUCGCGGCUUAUCAGCUUGUUGGUGGGGUAGUGGCUUACCAAGGCUUUGACGGGUAGCCGGCCUGAGAGGGUGACCGGCCACAUUGGGACUGAGCUACGGCCCAGACUCCUACGGGAGGCAGCAGUGGGGAAUAUUGCACAAUGGGCGGAAGCCUGAUGCAGCAACGCCGCGUGCGGGAUGACGGCCUUCGGGUUGUAAACCGCUUUCGCCUGUGACGAAGCGUGAGUGACGGUAAUGGGUAAAGAAGCACCGGCUAACUACGUG